AGGUUAGAAACACUGGUGGAUGGGCUUAUGGUGCAUUAGCUAGUUGGUGAGGUAACGGCCCACCAAGGCGAUGAUGCAUAGCCGGGCUGAGAGGCUGAACGGCCACAUUGGGACUGAGACACGGCCCAGACUCCUACGGGAGGCAGCAGUAGGGAAUUUUCGGCAAUGGGGGAAACCCUGACCGAGCAACGCCGCGUGAGUGAUGAAGGUCUUCGGAUUGUAAAGCUCUGUUGUAAGGGAAGAAUGAAUUGGAUAGAAUCCGAUUGUGACGGUACCUUACCAGAAAGCUACGGCUAACUACGUGCCAGCAGCCGCGGUAAUACGUAGGUAGCGAGCGUUAUCCGGAAUUAUUGGGCGUAAAGGGUGCGUAGGCGGCUUGUUAAGUUUAAGGUGAAAGAAUGGGGCUCAACCCCAUAAAGCCUUAGAUACUGGCAAGCUAGAGUACUGGAGAGGGUAGUGGAAUUCCAUGUGUAGCGGUAAAAUGCGUAGAUAUAUGGAGGAACACCGGUGGCGAAGGCGGCUACCUAGACAGAGACUGACGCUGAGGCACGAAAGCGUGGGGAGCAAAUAGGAUUAGAUACCCUAGUAGUCCACGCCGUAAACGAUGAAUGCUAGAUAUCGGGGCAACUCGGUGUCGAAACUAACGCGAUAAGCAUUCCGCCUGUGGAGUAUGCACGCAAGUGUGAAACAUAAAGGAAUUGACGGGGGCCCGCACAAGCGGUGGAGUAUGUGGUUUAAUUCGACGCAACGCGAAGAACCUUACCAGGCCUUGACAUCCCUGCAAAACUCUAGAGAUAGAGCAGAG
rnacentral:rRNA from 1 species